UAGAGUUGAUCCUGGCUCAGAUUGAACGCUGGCGGCAGGCCUAACACAUGCAAGCCGAGCGGCAGCGGGAAGUAGCUUGCUACUUUGCCGGCGAGCGGCGGACGGGUGAGUAAUGUCUGGGAAACUGCCUGAUGGAGGGGGAUAACUACUGGAAACGGUAGCUAAUACCGCAUGAUGUCGCAAGACCAAAGUGGGGGACCUUCGGGCCUCACGCCAUCGGAUGUGCCCGGAUGGGAUUAGCUAGUAGGUGAGGUAAUGGCUCACCUAGGCGACGAUCCCUAGCUGGUCUGAGAGGAUGACCAGCCACACUGGAACUGAGACACGGUCCAGACUCCUACGGGAGGCAGCAGUGGGGAAUAUUGCACAAUGGGCGCAAGCCUGAUGCAGCCAUGCCGCGUGUGUGAAGAAGGCCUUAGGGUUGUAAAGCACUUUCAGCGAGGAGGAAGGCGUUGUAGUUAAUAGCUGCAACGAUUGACGUUACUCGCGGAAGAAGCACCGGCUAACUCCGUGCCAGCAGCCGCGGUAAUACGGAGGGUGCAAGCGUUAAUCGGAAUUACUGGGCGUAAAGCGCACGCAGGCGGUUUGUUAAGUCAGGUGUGAAAUCCCCGAGCUUAACUUGGGAACUGCAUUUGAAACUGGCAAGCUAGAGUCUUGUAGAGGGGGGUAGAAUUCCAGGUGUAGCGGUGAAAUACGUAGAGAUCUGGAGGAAUACCGGUGGCGAAGGCGGCCCCCUGGACAAAGACUACGCUCAGUGGAAGCG
rnacentral:rRNA from 1 species